rnacentral:rRNA from 1 species
UACGAAGGGGGCUAGCGUUGUUCGGAAUUACUGGGCGUAAAGCGUGCGCAGGCGGUGAUGUAAGACCGAUGUGAAAUCCCCGGGCUUAACCUGGGAACUGCAUUGGUGACUGCAUUGCUGGAGUAUGGCAGAGGGGGGUGGAAUUCCACGUGUAGCAGUGAAAUGCGUAGAGAUGUGGAGGAACACCGAUGGCGAAGGCAGCCCCCUGGGCCAAUACUGACGCUCAUGCACGAAAGCGUGGGGAGCAAACAGG